rnacentral:rRNA from 1 species
GAUGAACGCUGGCGGCGUGCCUAAUACAUGCAAGUCGAGCGAACGGACGAGAAGCUUGCUUCUCUGAUGUUAGCGGCGGACGGGUGAGUAACACGUGGAUAACCUACCUAUAAGACUGGGAUAACUUCGGGAAACCGGAGCUAAUACCGGAUGAUAUUUUGAACCGCAUGGUUCAAAAGUGAAAGACGGUCUUGCUGUCACUUAUAGAUGGAUCCGCGCUGCAUUAGCUAGUUGGUAAGGUAACGGCUUACCAAGGCAACGAUGCAUAGCCGACCUGAGAGGGUGAUCGGCCACACUGGAACUGAGACACGGUCCAGACUCCUACGGGAGGCAGCAGUAGGGAAUCUUCCGCAAUGGGCGAAAGCCUGACGGAGCAACGCCGCGUGAGUGAUGAAGGUCUUCGGAUCGUAAAACUCUGUUAUUAGGGAAGAACAUAUGUGUAAGUAACUGUGCACACCUUGACGGUACCUAAUCAGAAAGCCACGGCUAACUACGUG